rnacentral:misc_RNA from 1 species
GAUGAAGAACGCAGCGAAAUGCGAUAAGUAAUGUGAAUUGCAGAAUUCAGUGAAUCAUCGAAUCUUUGAACGCACAUUGCGCCCGCUAGUAUUCUGGCGGGCAUGCCUGUCCGAGCGUCAUUUCAACCCUCAAGCCCCCGGGCUUGGUGUUGGGGAUCGGCGAGCCUCCGCGCCCGCCGUCCCCUAAAUCUAGUGGCGGUCUCGCUGUAGCUUCCUCUGCGUAGUAGCACACCUCGCACUGGGAAACAGCGCGGCCACGCCGUUAAACCCCCAACUUCUGAACGUUUGACCUCGGAUCAGGUGGGAAUACCCGCUGAACUUAAGCAUAUCAAUAAGCGGAGGA